UACGUAGGCAGCGAGCGUUGUUCGGAGUUACUGGGCGUAAAGGGUGUGUAGGCGGUUGUUUAAGUUUGGUGUGAAAUCUCCCGGCUCAACUGGGAGGGUGCGCCGAAUACUGAAUGACUUGGAGUGCGGGAGAGGAGAGUGGAAUUCCUGGUGUAGCGGUGAAAUGCGUAGAUAUCAGGAGGAACACCGGUGGUGUAGACGGCUCUCUGGACCGUAACUGACGCUGAGACACGAAAGCGUGGGUAGCAAACCGG
rnacentral:rRNA from 1 species